GUAACAUAUCGGAACGUACCCAUGAGUGGGGGAUAACGCAGCGAAAGUUGCGCUAAUACCGCAUAAGCUCUAUGGAGGAAAGUGGGGGACCGAAGGCUCAUGCUGAUGGAGCGGCCGAUAUCUGAUUAGCUGGUUGGUGAGGUAAAAGCUCACCAAGGCGACGAUCAGUAGCUGGUCUGAGAGGACGACCAG
rnacentral:rRNA from 1 species